GACGAACGCUGGCGGCGUGCUUAACACAUGCAAGUCGAACGGAAAGGCCCUGCUUUUGUGGGGUGCUCGAGUGGCGAACGGGUGAGUAACACGUGAGUAACCUGCCCUUGACUUUGGGAUAACUUCAGGAAACUGGGGCUAAUACCGGAUAGGAGCUCCUGCUGCAUGGUGGGGGUUGGAAAGUUUCGGCGGUUGGGGAUGGACUCGCGGCUUAUCAGCUUGUUGGUGGGGUAGUGGCUUACCAAGGCUUUGACGGGUAGCCGGCCUGAGAGGGUGACCGGCCACAUGGGGACUGAGAUACGGCCCAGACUCCUACGGGAGGCAGCAGUGGGGAAUAGUGCACAAGGGGCGGAAGCCGGAUGCAGCAACGCCGCGGGCGGGAUGACGGCCUUCGGGUGGUAAACCGCGUUCGCCUGGGACGAAGCGUGAGUGACGGUAAUGGGGAAAGAAGCACCGGCUAACUACGG
rnacentral:rRNA from 1 species